UACGGGGGGGACAAGCGUUGUUCGGAUUUACUGGGCGUAAAGGGCGCGUAGGCGGACCUCCAAGUCGGGUGUGAAAACUGGCGGCUUAACCACCAGCCUGCAUUUGAUACUGUUGGUCUUGAGUACAGGAGAGGAGAGUGGAAUUCCAGGUGUAGCGGUGACAUGCGUAGAUAUCUGGAAGAACACCAGUAGCGAAGGCGGCUCUCUGGACUGAUACUGACGCUAAGGCGCGAAGGCUUGGGGAGCAAACAGG
rnacentral:rRNA from 1 species